AGAUCAAGCCCCUAAUAACACAAGCACAAUACCCUAAUUCUUCAUAUAGACCCUAAUAUACAUUUUAUUAACCUAGAAUACCAACCCUUAUUAGUAGCUGCACCAGACCUAAAAAUACUCUAGAGAUCAGUAGCUAGAUCAAAUAGACUCUAAGACCUAAAAGGAGACCCCCACCGCCGUUGCUUCUUCUUGAGGAGAUCAGCAGCUAAAAGGAGAUCAUCCGUGGCUUCUUCUUCUUCUUGACAUUGAACGAUCCUAGAGGAAGAGAAUACUAUUUCCAGCACUCACCCCUCAGCCCUCUCUCUCUCGGUUAAUUUUCAGUGUCACUGUUGUCCGCCGGAGUUUUUCGUCGGUGAUGGCUAGGAAACCAUGGUGACUUCCGUCAUUUCUUCUCUUCGACGAGCUCCACUGGUUUGAGAAAUCAACACUUCUUGCCGGAGAUUGGCCGGAAACUUUCAGAUUUGACAAUGAAGUUUUAACGCCGAUCUGUUUGGGUUUGAGUUCCGAUGACCAAUACCCUUUUUCCCGUGACCACCAUUUAAAAUGGCAGACUUUUUUUUUUCUAUACCUUUGUUUCUUCAUUCACGUGUUGUUAUAAACAAUAUGAGUUAUAACAAGUACUUUGUUUAGUUGAUUGGAUUUAUGCGGGUUUGACCGGAUUUGCCAUUUUUCCAGCGUACUCCAUUAAACUCAGUUGAAAACCCGCCGAGAUACUGCCGAAAACCAGCCUCAAAUUUGUCACAAAAUAGCCCCCAUAAUUAGUUGCAUUUUCUUGAGAUUGAGGUCAUUUUUAAGUUUCCGUUUGAGAUCUCUGGUCGUUGAUUCCGUUCGAUGUCACCGGCAAACACUCUGAUCAACAAUUGUCCGGUUGUUAAGAUCUUGUAAUUCCAACUCAGAUAGUUUAUACAAAAGGUCACUCUUUUUCUCCUCUUCAUUGCUUGUUUGAUUCAUUGACUUUGUUAAUUGAUUAUGUGUAAUUAUUCGAUGGCAUGGCAUUUUAGUACAUUUUAUUGAGUUUGGAUCUCUGAAUCUUAUUAUUUCUUUGUUUCACGAGAUUAUGGUUUGGAGUCUGUUGCUAUCUUAUUUUGUUCGAAAAUCUCAAGUGGGGUUUUGGGAAUCCGGAAAUUAUAGUUGUUAAUGAGUGGAUUUUUGGGGUUUUAAGUGAGAUUAAAGUUUGGGUUUUGCUGAAAUUUGCGAGAAACUAGAUUAAUAACUUUAACAACAGACCAUUAGGGUAACAAGUUGUAAGUUAGACCAUCUUUUACUAAUUAAUGGAUAUAAAAAUAGCUCAACAGAUGGAGUAGCGAGUGUUAAACAUUUGUUAGUGUAAAUAACUAGUAUAUACUAUUGUGGUCAUGUACACGUUCGCGUGACAUAAUUAUAAUUUUCAAAAUAAAUCGAGAUAUGAGUUCAUGCAACUUUGGCCAAAUUUUCUUAAUAAAUAAUAAAACAUGAUUAAUUGUGGAAACGUACAUGUGACAUGUUUCAUGAUGCGUCAAACAAAAUGAUGUACACGUACGUGUGACUCAUUUCAAGUUAAUUUCAUAAUUAAAAGGAGUAAGAGGUAAGAAUGUACCUAGGUUCUAAAAUAAGUAAUUAGACAAUUUAAUUAAGCCAAGUAUGAUAAAGAGACCGUGCUAAAAUUAUGAAACUCGAAAAUGCCUAACACCUUCUCCCGGGUUAACAGAAUUCCUUACCUGAAUUUUUGUGUUUCGCGGACUAUAUAACAUAUUCAAAUUUUCUCGAUUCGGAAUUUUAAACUGGGACACCAUAAAUUAUCCAAAAUGGUGACUCUAAAUUUCAAAAAUAAUCUUGUUUCGAUUGUCACUUUAAUUGGAAAAGCUUCCUUAUACCCCUUUCGUGUAAAAAAAGAAGGUGUGACAGCUCUGGCGACCCUGCUAGGGAAUAAAAUCCAGAAUUUCUGGUUCAGGGUUCAGAAUUUGAGCUUGUUAACAUGAUCUAUGCUUGGUUUUAUUGUUUAUUGAUAUUACUGCAUUAGUGGACCUAAUGUUCUAAUUACCGCUUAUUUACUGCUUUGAUAUUAUUUAAACUGUCUUCUUACACCUCUCUUCUGAAUCUUCUAAAAUAUGGUGCUCACGUAUGCGUGGCCCACUUUUUUGUUAGUAUUCCUACCAAAUAGAACGAGGUUGGGUCAGUAACUAUGCCGGGUAGACUUUCGUGCUCCCGGUAUAUUGCCCCCACCUCGGCUGGAGUUGUCUGCUCUGGUAAGCCAGGUCUAGAACACAACCCUAGGUUUAAAUCUAGAAUAACAAAGCCUCAUGAUGUAUCCCUAAUAUGAACGUUUGUUUGUAUCAUGUGCAUUUGACUUAGGGGAUCAACACAGGGGUAAAGUCCAGGACAGGUGUACCCAAAAAUAAAAGACCAUUCUGGUGCAUUUUAUAUGCUACAUGUUCCAUUCUUCAAGGGUAAAAAGGGUCACUUGGCAGACCAAAGUGAAGUGUGAGAGAAAAAAUGGUGAAGUGUAAAAAUGAAGCAAGUAGGGCCUAAUUAUAUCUUUCUUUCACAUUUUUUAAAGAAAUAGACCAAAAAAACUAUAAAAUUUCCAAAAAGGUUUUGCACUUUCCUAUCAUUUAAAAAAAAGAUAAAAAACAAUAUUUUCUCUAAAUUAGUUGUUUUUUAUUUAAUUCUCGCCCGUAUCCAUUCUUCCCGAACUAAGCAUACCUGAUUCUCGUCUUUCGGGGCGGGAUAUGUAGGCAGCCCACAUAGGGUCCGGUCUUCUUAGUGAGUCAUAGGUUCUUGGCUUCGAGGGUCGUAGCCAAAUCUUCCAUCUUUAGCCCUUUUUGGCCAUGUCGGACGUUUUGCAAAAUAGGGCAAUUUUUGUAAUGUGGCUUGUUUAAUUGUGUUUGAAGAGUCUUCAAUCCACAAUUAGAUGUCUUCUCAUUUUAAGGUCCAUCCUUCUUGAAUUUGUAUAUCUAGCUACUUUUUGGCCGCCUCGGCCGUUCUUGCAAAUUAGGGCCAUUUUUGCAAAAACGGUUGUUAACCCAUGUCUUAGAGUCCUAAGUCCACAACAAAUUGUCCUCUCUGUUUAAGGUCCAUUAUGUUAGAACUUGCAUGCUUAACCAUUUUUCUGGCCACAUAGGCCAUUUUUACAAAAUGGGUCGUUUCUUGCAAAGUAAUUUUUCCAUGUCUUAGAGGCCACUUUUGUUGAGUUUGCACUUAUAGACACCUUUUGGAUGCAUAACAGAUUUUGCAAAAUAACCUCAAUCGUAUCUUGCAUGUGUCCAAUAGGAAGUAUUAUUUUCUCACAUAGUGUUCCAAGUCUUUAACUCUAUUUGGUCUUAUUUUUCUCAUACAGGUAUGGAUCUACUUACCAGAGCUUGACCAUGACAGACGCCCAAGGACCCUCUUUGUCAGGACUGUUGCAUCCAGGAGUUACUUAAGGAUAUUUUUAUUUAUUUAUUUUUUGAGUCUAUUUUUUGUUAUCUUGUACUUUAUAAUCAUGUUCAGUAGCACUGAUUCUUUUAGUUAGUGUCAGAGUUUGUCGUAGUACAGUUGAGUUUGUCAAGUCUCUCGUUAUCGUAUUUCCUGUUUUAUAUUUGAAAACCAAAAAAAGCUAUAAAUGAAAACUCAAAAAGAUAGUUAUUGCAUUUCCAG
rnacentral:lncRNA from 1 species